rnacentral:lncRNA from 1 species
UUCAUACAAUUUGUAUAAAAAAAACUAAAAAUAAAAUACUUUAAGACGUCGGAUCUAAGAUCAAACGGUGAGAGUCUCUCUUGAUCAAAAUUUUACUGGUGGAUGAUUGGUAUGCAAUCACACACUCUUCAAUGGAUAGAAACACGCCUUCUUCCCUGAUGAAGUUUUUCUCUCAAGUGGAUUACAAAUUAAAGAGCAUAGGCUCUGUUCUACGAUGAAAGAAGCCAUACAUAACUAUUGACAAUCAAGCUUCGAGACCCUGUUGGCCUUUCUUUAGGUAGCUUCAAGCAAUAAGACUUCCGCAAGGGUGGCCAGGAAAUGGGAGACAUCAAUUUUACGAGCCAAUUAUGGCUGCAUUGUGAUCAAAUAUGAUGGCCAAAGGUGUGUCCCAUGUGAUUAGGGUGUGAGCUUGAUUUAUUAGUUAAUUGAG